GACGAACCGUGCGAACGUUAUUCGGAUUCACUGGGCUUAAAGGGCGCGUAGGCGGUGGACCCAGUCCGGGGUGAAAUCUUUCGGCUCAACCGGAAAAGUGCCUCGGAUACUGGUUCACUCGAGGGAGGUAGGGGCCCGCGGAACUUCCGGUGGAGCGGUGAAAUGCGUUGAUAUCGGAAGGAACGCCGGUGGCGAAAGCGGCGGGCUGGCCCUCUUCUGACGCUGAGGCGCGAAAGCCAGGGGAGCCGAACGGG
rnacentral:rRNA from 1 species